CCUACGGGUGGCAGCAGUGAGGAAUAUUGGUCAAUGGACGAGAGUCUGAACCAGCCAAGUAGCGUGAAGGAUGACUGCCCUAUGGGUUGUACACUUCUUUUAUAAAGGAAUAAAACGAGGCACGUGUGCCUUUUUGCAUGUACUUUAUGAAUAAGGAUCGUCUAACUCCGUGCCAGCAGCCGCGGUAAUACGGAGGAUCCGAGCGUUAUCCGGAUUUAUUGGGUUUAAAGGGAGCGUAGAUGGGUUGUUAAGUCAGUUGUGAAAGUUUGCGGCUCAACCGUAAAAUUGCAAUUGAUACUGGCAGUCUUGAGUACAGUUGAGGUAGGCGGAAUUCGUGGUGUAGCGGUGAAAUGCUUAGAUAUCACGAAGAACCCCGAUUGCGAAGGCAGCUCACUAAACUGUGACUGACAUUGAUGCUCGAAAGUGUGGGUAUCAAACAGGAUUAGAUACCCGGGUAGUC
rnacentral:rRNA from 1 species